rnacentral:rRNA from 1 species
UUCUGGCUCAGGAUGAACGCUAGCUACAGGCUUAACACAUGCAAGUCGAGGGGCAGCAUGAUCUUAGCUUGCUAAGAUUGAUGGCGACCGGCGCACGGGUGAGUAACGCGUAUCCAACCUUCCCUGUACUAGGGGAUAGCCCGGCGAAAGUCGGAUUAAUACCCUAUGUUUUCCGAAGCGAGCAUUUAAUUUGGAACAAAGGUUUACCGGUAUAGGAUGGGGAUGCGUCUGAUUAGAUAGUAGGCGGGGUAACGGCCCACCUAGUCGACGAUCAGUAGGGGUUCUGAGAGGAAGGUCCCCCACAUUGGAACUGAGACACGGUCCAAACUCCUACGGGAGGCAGCAGUGAGGAAUAUUGGUCAAUGGGCGAGAGCCUGAACCAGCCAAGUAGCGUGCCAGGAUGACGGCCCUAUGGGUUGUAAACUGCUUUUAUAUAGGGAUAAAGUGAGGGACGUGUCCCUUAUUGUAGGUACUAUAUGAAUAAGGACCGGCUAAUUCCGUGCCAGCCGCAGC